UACGUAGGUGGCAAGCGUUAUCCGGAAUUAUUGGGCGUAAGCGCGCGCAGGUGGUUUCUUAAGUCUGAUGUGAAAGCCCACGGCUCAACCGUGGAGGGUCAUUGGAAACUGGGAGACUUGAGUGCAGAAGAGGAAAGUGGAAUUCCAUGUGUAGCGGUGAAAUGCGUAGAGAUAUGGAGGAACACCAGUGGCGAAGGCGACUUUCUGGUCUGUAACUGACACUGAGGCGCGAAAAGCGUGGGGAGCAAACAGGG
rnacentral:rRNA from 1 species